GAUGAACGCUGGCGGCGUGCCUAAUACAUGCAAGUCGAGCGAACGGACGAGAAGCUUGCUUCUCUGAUGUUAGCGGCGGACGGGUGAGUAACACGUGGGUAACCUACCUAUAAGACUGGGAUAACUUCGGGAAACCGUAGCUAAUACCGGAUAAUAUUUUGAACCGCAUGGUUCAAAAGUGAAAGACGGUCUUGCUGUCACUUAUAGAUGGAUCCGCGCUGCAUUAGCUAGUUGGUAAGGUAACGGCUUACCAAGGCAACGAUGCAUAGCCGACCUGAGAGGGUGAUCGGCCACACUGGAACUGAGACACGGUCCAGACUCCUACGGGAGGCAGCAGUAGGGAAUCUUCCGCAAUGGGCGAAAGCCUGACGGAGCAACUCCGCGUGAGUGAUGAAGGUCUUCGGAUCGUAAAACUCUGUUAUUAGGGAAGAACAUAUGUGUAAGUAACUGUGCACAUCUUGACGGUACCUAAUCAGAAAGCCACGGCUAACUACGU
rnacentral:rRNA from 1 species